rnacentral:rRNA from 1 species
UAGGGAAUCUUCGGCAAUGGGGGGAACCCUGACCGAGCAACGCCGCGUGAGUGAAGAAGGUUUUCGGAUCGUAAAGCUCUGUUGUUAAGGAAGAACGAGUGUGAGAAUGGAAAGUUCAUACUGUGACGGUACUUAACCAGAAAGGGACGGCUAACUACGUGCCAGCAGCCGUGGUAAUACGUAGGUCCCGAGCGUUGUCCGGAUUUAUUGGGCGUAAAGCGAGCGCAGGCGGUUAGAUAAGUCUGAAGUUAAAGGCAGUGGCUCAACCAUUGUAGGCUUUGGAAACUGUUUGACUUGAGUGCAGAAGGGGAGAGUGGAAUUCCAUGUGUAGCGGUGAAAUGCGUAGAUAUAUGGAGGAACACCGGUGGCGAAAGCGGCUCUCUGGUCUGUAACUGACGCUGAGGCUCGAAAGCGUGGGGAGCGAACAGGAUUAGAUACCCUGGUAGUCCACGCCGUAAACGAUGAGUGCUAGGUGUUAGGUCCUUUCCGGGACUUAGUGCCGCAGCUAACGCAUUAAGCACUCCGCCUGGGGAGUACGACCGCAAGGUUG